rnacentral:rRNA from 14 species
CGCCGUACUCAGGUCUGAACCCGGUCCCUUACCUAACUCGUGAAGCUUCACCAAA